CAUUAUGACGAAAACUUUUUUUAUUUAUUGUCUUAACUUUUUCCUUUCACAUUUGAAGGAUCAAUAUAAACAAUGAACCUAAAUUUUAUAUAAAAGUCAAAUUGGAUGCCAGUGGACGUACCUGUUCGACCCAAAGAUUCGUCGUCAUAAUUUGAUUUUUUAAAUUCUGAAACAAAAAAGGAAAAUUAACUUACAGUAAAAAAGACACCCAUUUUUAAAGAUUACAACCGAAACAAAAAGUGAUACAAAAUGUUUGAGUUAUAAAUCGAUGUGACACAUUUCUAUCCUCAUCAGGCGGGACCCAGAUGGCCGAUGCAGAAAAACACAUAAAUGCAUUUGGAAUGUCCGGGUGGGGCCGUGCCCCCCCGGGUAUCUGGACGAAGACCGAUGACCAGCACAAUAAAAAUACGGCAGGAUUAACGGCAGGAAACGAGAUUUG